GUGUGGCUUGGGAGACUCCAGAGGGAUCCAGGAAGAAACUGAAUCGGCUUUGCCAGAGGCAGAUGCAGAACGGAAUAGGAGCGGCUGAGGAAGUUCAUCUCAGACAUAGUAAGAGAUCUGAGGAAACUACUGUAGAGAGACAUGGCAGACACAGAAAACGAGUCAAAAUCCAAACCAGACCAGAAACUCUGCUGCACUAUGUGUUCCAGUGCUCUCAAUAAGGAUGAGCUCGCUACCUGUGGCCACUCAGUCUGUGCCUCCUGCUUGGGGAAGAAAGGUAAAGGCUGUCCUGAGUGUCUACAGAGCUCUGGCAAGCCUGAAACUGCACCUGUGGAACAGAAUGGAACAUUGAAUGGAAUGGUGGCUGAGUCUCCACCGGUGAUCAAAACCAAAGAAAAAUAUGAAAAGGACAUAGAAGCCCAGGAUUCAAAGACCGCAGAGGAAACAAUAAUAAAGGAAGAUCUGAAGGAAGCAGAGGACCCUAAAAAAACAGAGGAAGAGAGUGACCCUCCACAGCCUGCAGAGGAAGUGAACGAGGAUGUGGUGAACAAGAAAUCAAAGGAACAGAAAGCAAAAGAAGAGAACGCAAAGGAAGAAGAGGUCAAGGAAGAGGUGAAAGUAGAGUCGUUGGGACUCGAUGAUGUUGUGUGUGACUCAUGUAUGGAGACGAGCCCGUGCAUGGCCCUAAAGUCGUGCCACACCUGCCUUGUGUCCUACUGCGAGGCCCACCUCAGGCCCCACUUGGAGAACCCCAAGUUCCAGAACCACCGUCUGGUGGAGCCGCUGAGGGACAUCGAGAGACGGACCUGUGAGAUUCACAAAUGGUCCCUGGAGCUGUUCUGCUGUUCUGAUUCUGUGUGUGUCUGUCAGGACUGUGUGACAGAAAACCAUAGGGGACAUAACACUGUUCCUGUGUUAGAGGCGCGCAGAACCAUAGAGAGGGAAUUACGAGAUAAACAAACAGAGAUGGUGAAGACAGUGGCGGCAGCAGAGAAUGCCAUCAACCAACUCCAACUCAACACGGUUUCCUUUGAGAAUUCAGUGACGGAGGUCCGUGAGGUGAUUGACAGCCAGUUUAUGGAGCUGCAGGCUGCGGUGGAGCGGGCCAAGAGAGAGGUGACAGAGAUCCUGGAAGGAGAGGACAAGCAGGCUCUCAGACAGACUGAGGGGAUCAAGGUACACCUGGAGCAGAAGUGCACUGAGCUGAAGAAGACACAAGAGCAGUUGAAAAAGCUCUCGAAGAACAAGAACGACGUGGACUUCCUACAAGAGUACUCUAAGUGGAAGAAGGACAGCCCUGACAUUACCCUACCUGGGUUCUACAUCGGCCUUAUGGACCGGCUCAACUCCUUCAGCAGAGUAAUUGUUACCUCCACACAGGAGCUGUGUGAGAAGCUGCUGUCCAAUUACAUAGAGACACUCAAAGAGACCUGCAAAAAUAACAAGAUGGGGAUAAAAACCACAGUCCAUGAAACAAUCGCAGCCAAACAGAACAUGACUGUGCCAGACCCAAAGACGCGGGAUGACUUCCUAAAGUAUGCCGCGCCUGUGAGAUUUGACGCAGACACGGCCCAUAAGUUCCUGCGUCUGACUGAGGAAAACAGGAAGGUGACCAACACCACACCCUGGCAACACCCGUACCCCGAUGUCCCUGAGCGCUUUGAGAACUGGCGCCAGGUACUGGCCACAGAGAGCUUCUAUAAUGGUCGACACUACUUCGAGGUGGACGUGAGCGGUGAGGGCACGUACGUCGGACUCACCUACAAGAGCAUCGAUCGCAAGGGCCCAAAGAAAAACAGCUGCAUUACCGGGAAUGACUUCUCAUGGUGUCUACAAUGGAACGGCCGCAGCUUCUCUGCCUGGCACAGUGAUGUGGAGACGCCUCUGAAAGUGGAGAAGUUCACACGUUCCCUGGUUUAUGUGGAAUUCAGCUGUGGCCUACUGGCCUUCUAUGGGGUGGAUAAUGCUGUCGGCAUGACCAUCAUUCACAAAUACAAGGCUGACUUUCUGGAGCCUCUCUACCCAGCCUUCUGGCUGUCGAAGAAGGAGAACGUGAUAGAGCUUGUUGGACCUGGGGAGUCGCUCACACUGAAAAGCCCCUCUCCUCCUAACUCACCCCAAAACACUGAUGUUGCACCCCCCAGCCGUUUCACAGUAUCUUCUGUUGUUGAUCAAUGAUUAAUUUGUCACUGGUAAAUUUCCCCUGUCAACCCUAAAAAGCUUCAGAAUGCAAGAAGAAAUGGAAAAGGAAGCGCAUCAGCCGGCCCCAUACUUGUACAUAUACUUAUGUAAAUAUUUCUGUUUUUAUUUUUAAUAUAUUUGCAAAGAUUUCCAAAACCUGUUUUCCACUUUGUCAUUAUGGGGUAUUGUGUGUAGAUUGAUGAGGGGAAUUUUGUAUUUAAUCCAUUUCAGAAUAAGGCUGUAACGUUACAAAAUGUGGAAAAAGUUAAGGGGUCUGAAUACUUUCCGAAUGCACUGUAUAUCCCAAUAAGGUGACAAUAAACCUCACUAGAUUUGUAAAUGAUUUUCUAAAUACCAUUUGCCUUUGUCAAUGGUGUAUUGGAGUCAAAGUCAGGUGCAGGAGAGCAGAGUAUAAUUAACAGGCGCACUUUUAUUAAAGUUCCAAAAACGAGAGCACUACAUAAAUCAAACACGCUCAAAAAAACAGGACAUAAAAGUAAAGCGCUUAAACUAACACCACAUAACAUGAAACAAUUACACACAAAACAUGAUGGGGAAACAGAGGGUUAAAUACAAGUAGACUGAUUGGGGAAAUGAAAACCAGGUGUGUAUGGAAACAAGACAAGACAAAUGGAUAUAUGAAAAAUGGAGUGGUGAUGGCUAGAAAGCCGGUGAUGUCGAUCGCCGAACGCCGCCAGAACAAGGAGAGGAGCCGACUUCGGCGGAAGUCGUGACUGCCUUGAUGACAGCUUUGCACACUCUUGGCAUUCUCUCAACCAGCUUCAUGAGGUAGUCACCUGGAAUGCAUUUAAAUUAAUAGGUGUGCCUUUUUAUAAAUUCAUUUGUGGAAUUGCUUUCCUUCUUAAUACGUUUGAGCCAGUCAGUUGUGUUGUGACAAGGUAGAGGUGGUAUACAGAAGAUAGCCCUAUUUGGUAAAAGACCAAGUCCAUAUUAUGGCAAGAACAGCUCAAAUAAGCAAAGAGAAACAACAGUCCAUCAAUACUUUAAGACAUGAAGGUCAGUCAAUAUAGAACAUUUCAUGAACUUUUGAGUGUUUCUUCAAGUGCAAUCGCAAAAACCAUCAAGUACUAUGAUGAAACUGGCUCUCAUGAGGACCGCCACAGGAAAGGAAGACCCAGAGUUACCUCUGCUGCAGAGGAUGAGUUCAUUAAAGUUACCAGCCUCAGAAAUUGUAGCCCAAAUAAAUGCUUCACAGAGUUAAAGUAACAGACGCAUCGCAACAUCAACUGUUCAGAGGAGACUGCGUGAAUCAGGCAUUCAUGGUCAAAUUACUGCAAAGAAACAACUACUUAAGGUCACCAAUAAGAAAAAGAGAAUUGCUUGGGCCAAAAAACAUGAGCAAUGGACUUUAAACCUAUGAAAAUCUGUCUUUUGGUCUGAGGAGUACACAUUUUUUAUUUUUAGUUCCAACCGCUGUGUCUUUGUGAGAUGCAGAGUAGGUGAACGGAUGAUCUCAGCAUGUGUGGUUCCCACCACGAAGCAUGGCGGAGGAGGUGUGAUGGUUUGUGGGUAAUUUGCUUGUGACACUGUCAGUAAUUCAUUUAGAAUUCAAGGCACAUGAACAACAAAGUGCUCAGCAUAUGUGGGAACUCCUUGAAGACUGUUGUAAAAACAUUCCAAGUGAAGCUGGUUGAGAGAAUGCCAAGAGCAUGCAGAGUUGUCAAAGGCAAGGGGUGGCUACAUUGAAGAAUAUAAAAUAUGAAAUAUAUUUUUAUUUGUUUAAAACUUCUUUGGUUACUACAUGAUUCCAUAUGUGUUAUUUAGUUUUGAUGUCCUCACUAUUAUUAUACAAUGUAGAAAAUACAAAAUCAUCACAUUCCCAGUGGGUCAGAAGUUUACAUGCAUUCCAUUAGUAUUUGGUAGCAUUGCCUUUAAAUUGUUUAACUUGGGUCAAACGUUUCAGGAUAGCCUUCCACGAAAUUCCCACAAUAUGUUGGAUGAAUUCUGGCCCAUUACCCCUGACAGAGCUGGUGUAACUGAGUCAGGUAUGUAGACCCCCUUGCUUGCACACGUUUCAUUCAGUUCUGCCCACAAAUGUUCUAUAGAAUUGAGGUCAGGACUUUGUGAUGGCCACUCCAAGCUUUAACUUCCUGACUGAUGUCUUGAGAUAUUGCUUCAAUAUAUCUCCAUCAUUGUCCUCCCUCAUGAUGCCAUCUAUUUUGUGAAGUGCACCAGUCCCUCCUGCAGCAAAGCACCCACACAACAUGAUGCUGCCACCCCCGUGCAUCACGAUUGGGAUGGUGUUCUUCGACUUGCAAGCCUCCCCCUUUUUCCUCCAAACAUAAUGAUGAUCAUUAUGGCCAAACAGUUCUAUUUUUGUUUCAUCAGACCAGAGGACAUUUCUCCGAAAACUAUGAUCUUUGUCCCCAUGUGCAGUUGCAAACUCUAGUCUGGCUUUUUUUAUGGCGGUUUUGGAGCAGUGGCUUCUUCCUUGUUGGACGGCCUUUCAGGUUAUGUCGAUAUAGGACUCGUUUUACUGUGGAUAUAGAUACUUUUGUAUCUGUUUCCUCCAGCAUCUUCACAAGGUCCUUUGCUGUUGUUCUAGGAUUGAUUUGCACUUUUUGCGCCAAAGUACGUUCAUCUCUAGGAGACAGAAUGCGUCUCCUUCCUGAGUGGUAUGAGGGCUGCAUGUUCCCAUGGUGUUUAUACUUGCGUACUAUUGUUUGUACAGAUGAAUGUGGUACCUUCAGGCGUUGGGAAAUUCCUCCUGAGGAUGAACCAGACUUGUGGAUGUCAGAAUUUUUUUUCUGAGGUAUUGGCUGAUCUCUUUUGAUAUUCCUAUGAUGUCAAGCAAAGAGGCACUGAAAUACAUCCACAGGUACACCUCCAAUUAACUCAAAUGAUGUCAAUUAGCCUAUCAAAAGGUUCUAAAGUCAUGCCAUCAUUUUCUGGAAUUUUCCAAGCUGUUUAAAGGCACAGUCAACUUAACGUACGUAAACCUCUUACCCACUGGAUUUGUGAUACAGUGAAUUAUAUGUGAAAUAAUCUGUCUGUAAACAAUUGUUGGAAAAAUGACUUGUGUCAUGCACAAAGUAGAUGUCCUAAACGACUUACCAAAACUAUAGUUUGUAAACAAGAAAUUUGUGGAGUGGUUGAAAACGAGUUUUACUGACUCCAACCCAAGUGUAUGUAAACGUCCGACUUCAACUGUAUAUACACAGUGCAUUUGGAAAGUACACACAAUACCCUACAAUGAUAAAGCAAGAACACGUUUUUACACAUUUUUGCAAAUGCAUUAAACAUUUAAAACAGAAAUAUCACAUUUAUAAAAAUAUUGAGAUUCUUUACUCUGUACUUUGUUGAAGCACCUUUGGCAGCAAUUACAGCCUCAAGUCUUCCUGGGUAUGACGCUACAAGCUUGGCAUACCUGUAUUUGGGGAGUUUCUCCCAUUCUUCUGUGCAGAUCCUCUCAAGCUCUGUCAGGUUGGAUGGGAAGCAUCGUAUCACAGCUAUUUUCAGGUCUCUCUAGAGAUGUUUGAUUGGGUUCAAGUCUGGGCUCUAGCUGGGCCACUCAAGGAUAUUCAGAGAAUUGCCACGAGCCACUUCUGCUUUGUCUUGGUUGUAUGCUUAAGGUCAUUGUACUGUUGGAAGGUGGACUGUCGCCUCAGUCUGAUGUCCUGAGCGCUCUGGAGCAGGUUUUCAUCAAGGAUCUCUCUGUACUUUGUUCCGUCCAUCUUUCCCUCGAUCCUGACUAUUCUCCCAGUCCAUGCCGCUGAAAAACAUCCCCACAGGAUGUUGCUGCCACCCCCAUGUUUCACUAUAAGAAUGGUGCUAGUUUUUUUCCAGACAUGACGCUUGACAUUCAGGUCAACAAGUUCAAUCUUGGUUUCAUCAGACCAGAGAAUCUUGUUUCUUAUGGUCAGAUUCCUUUAGGUGCCUUUUAGCAAACUCCAAGUGGGCUGUCAUGUGCCUUUUACUGAGGAGUGGCUUCCGUCUGGCCACUCUACCAUAAAGACCUGAUUGGUGGAGUGCUGCAGAGAUGGUUGUCCUUCUGGAAGUUCCUCCCAUUUCCAAAGAGGAACUCUGGAGCUCUUACAGAGUGACCAUUGGGUUCUUGCUCUCCUCUUCUCCCUGACCAAGACCCUUCUCCUCCAUUUGCUUAGUUUGGCCGGGCAGCCAGCUCUGGGAAGAGUCUUGGUGGUUCAAAUGUUCUUUCAUUUAAGAAUGGUGGAGGCCACUGUGUUCUUGGGGACCUUCAAUGCUGCAGAAAUGUUUUGGUACCCUUCCCCAGAUAUGUGCCUUGACACAAUCCUGUCUCGAAUCUCUACAGACAAUUCCUUUGACCUCAUUGCUUGGUUUUGUUCUGACAUGCACUGUCAACUGUGGAAUGAGUAGGUGUGUCCAAAUGUUGGACUGGUGGUGUGGGGGUGCUUUGCUGGUGACACUGUCAGUGAUUCAUUUAGAAUUCAAGGCACACUUAACCAGCAGGGCCUCCACAGCAUUCUGCAGCGAUACGUCACACCAUCUGGUUUGCACUUAGUGGGACUAUCAUUUGUUUUUCAACAGGACAAUGAUCCAACACACUUCCAGGCUGUGUAAGGGCUAUUUGACCAAGUGGAGAGUGAAGGAGUGCUGCAUCGGAUGACCUGGCCCCCACAAUCACCCAACCUCAACCCAACUGAGAGGGUUUGGGGUGAGUUGGACGGCAGAGUGAAGGAAAAGUAGUGAACGAGCGCUCAGCAUAUGCAGGAACUCCUUCAAGACAAUGUAGAAAAUAGUCAAAUAAAGAAAAACACUUGAAUGAGUAGGUGUGUCUGAAUUUUUGACUGGUACUGUGUAUAUAUAUAUAUAUAUAUAUAUACACACAGUGUGGUCUGAAAUUAUUGACACCCUUGAUAAAGAUGAGCAAUAAUUACUCUAUAAAUUAAUUUAUUCAAAUACUGAGCUAUAUUGUACGCUACAUUUUUGGGGGAAUUGUAUAAUUUUCUACUAAUUCAAUUGGUUAGAGAAUGAGAUUUUGUUUAACAAGUAAUAUAUUCUCCUCUCAAAAAAAUUGACACCCUUAAAGAUUCUCAGAAAUAAAGUUGUCAAAAGUAGAGUAUUUCAUGCCAUAUUCCUAUCACACAAUGACAAACUACAUCAAGCUUGUGACUCUACAAACUUGUUGGAUGCAUUUGCAGUUCAUUUGGAUUGUGUUUCAGAUUAUUUUGUGCCCAUUAUUUUGUCACUUUUCUUAUAAAUAAGAAUUAAACAUGUGGAUGCUACCAUGAUUAUGGAUAUUCCUGAAUGAAUUGUGAAUAAUGAUGAGUGAGAAAGUUACAGAGGUCCAAAGAUUGUACCACCAAGACAUGCUAACCUCUCACCACUAAGAAUAACAGAGGUUAUGUCUUGAGGGUAUGAUUUUGGGGGGGAGCAUACAGUAUAGUUCAGUAUUUGAAUUAUUUAUUUUAUAGUCAUUCUUGCUCAUCUUUAUCAAGGGUGUCAAUUUUGGACCCCACUUUAUAUAUAUAUAUAUUGUUUUUUCUUAUUCUUGCUGUGUUAUUAUGCAUGGGUAAUCUUGAAAAUAUUGGCAAUGUGUAGGUUACUUCUAAUAUGAGUGACUUUUUAUUUUUUUGUUUAAAUAUAAUGCUAAGGAGUUGUGAUACCAUGACUCUGUUUAAAUGGUGGACUUUUUUGGUAAACUUUGGGACUGCUUUUGCUGUUCACUAUGUAAUGUGACUUUGCAAUGUACUGUGUUUGACAGAUACCACUGUAUACAAAUAAAAGGUGUCUUCAA